GACGAACGCUGGCGGCGUGCCUAAUACAUGCAAGUAGAACGCUGAAUGAGGAUCUUGCUCUUCUGGAUGAGUUGCGCACGGGUGAGUCACGCGUAGGUAACCUGCCUGGUAGCGGGGGAUAACUAUUGUACACGAUAGGUAAUACCGCAUAACAGUAGAUGUUGCAUGACAUUUACUUAAAAGGUGCAAUUUCAUCACUACCAGAUGGACCUGCGUUGUCUUAGCUAGUUGGCUGGGUAACGGCUCAGCAAGGCGACGAUACAUAGCCGACCUGAGAGGGUGAUCAGCACCACGGGCAAGAAGACAAGGCCCCGACUCCGACGGGAGGCAGCGGUCGGGCAUCUUCGGGAAUGGACGGAAGUCUGACCGCGCAAAGCCGCGUGAGUGAAGAAGGUCUUCGGAUCGUAAAGCUCGGUUGUACGCGAAGCACGAGCGUGAGAGUGGAAAGUUCACGCUGUGACGGUAUCUGAGCAAAAAGGGACGGCUAACUCCGUG
rnacentral:rRNA from 1 species